UAGGGAAUCUCCGGCAAUGGGGGGAACCCUGACCGAGCAACGCCGCGUGAGUGAAGAAGGUUUUCGGAUCGUAUAGCUCUGUUGUUAAGGAAGAACGAGUGCGAGAAUGGAAAGUUCAUACUGUGACGGUACUUAACCAGAAAGGGACGGCUAACUACGUGCCAGCAGCCGCGGUAAUACGUAGGUCCCGAGCGUUGUCCGGAUUUAUUGGGCGUAAAGCGAGCGCAGGCGGUUAGAUAAGUCUGAAGUUAAAGGCAGUGGCUCAACCAUUGUAGGCUUUGUGAUCUGUUUAACUUGAGUGCAGAAGGGGGGAGUGGAAUUCCAUGUGUAGCGGUUAAAUGCGUGGAUAUAUGGAGGAACACCGGUGGCGAAAGCGGCUCUCUGGUCUGUUACUGACGCUGAGUCUCGAAAACGUGGGGAGCGAACAGG
rnacentral:rRNA from 1 species